UAUAGAUGUGGUGUAAACGGUUAACAUAUUUACCUCUCAAGUAAGAGAUUGUAGGUUCAACUCCUGCCAUCUAGAUC
rnacentral:tRNA from 1 species